CCCCCCAAAAAAAAGAUAUAGAUGUACUAUUGUAAAGUGGUUGUUCCACUGGAUAUCAUAAGGUGAAUGCACCAAUUUGUAAGUCGCUCUGGAUAAGAGCGUCUGCUAAAUGACGUAAAUGUAAAUGUAAAAAAAUGUCAUGCUAUUUUACCGAUUUUGCCAUGAGGCUAAGAGAAAAUGAUGCCGUUUUAAAGCUUUUUAAUUGCUUCCUGCAAUUCGAAGAAACAAAAAAAUGACUUGUUCAUAUGCUAUCCGGUGGGCCUGACCCAAAGCUUGUGGGCCCUCCUGCCUUGUGGGGACCAGGGCUGUGUGCUACACCAGGUGGGCCUGACCUCUGGGUGGGAAAACCCAAAGCUUGUGGGCCCUCCUGCCUUGCGGGAACCAGGGUUGUGUGCUACACCAAGUGGAUCUGACUUGUGGGACAAAUCACAGCAGGGUUUAUCAACAGGACCCUGAGGUUUCCUGACCAGGUAAAACUCUGGGCCCUCAGCUACGGCUACAGCUUAGUAUAACUGGUACAGGAAUAUGUAUGGUGUUCUCCAUGGCUCCACCACUAGUGAUGAUGCUUCUCCUGUUCUGCCUCCUCUGGCCACAUUCAUUCUCACAGCAUUCAUAUGUGAUUGGAAAACUUUCCUAGGAAUCCAAAAUGCUUGGACCAUCUCAAAGGCGAAGUGAUAUGCAGACCUAUUGCAAAGUGAUGGGACAUCAACAUGAGGAGAAAAUGUUCACGUACAAGUAUGAACAAAUCUAAUCUACCCCCCCAUGCAGAAUAUUACUAUAGUAAAUAUUCAUACGCAGCGUUACGUUGCAGACAAAAUGGCAAUAGACAUUAGAUGCCCAACAGUGCCACCAUGUGAAUAAAAACAAAUUUGACAGAAAUAAAAAUAUAUUUGUUAAACUGUCUCCUCCCCUUCAUCUACACUGAUUUGAAGUGGAUUUAACAGGUGACAUCAAUAAAUGGUCAUAGCUUUUACCUGGAUUCACCUGGUCAGUCUGUGUCAUGGAAAGAGCAGGUUUUCCUAAUGUUUUGUCCACCCCAGUGUACACCUCUGCAUACUACCAUACAAAUCCUAUUUUUUCCUUCAAUCUGGUUUUUAACCACAUGGUGGUGAUGUUGCCCAGCUAAUGCCUAUUGCCAUUUUGUCUGCAAUGUAAUGGUGGCAUACUGUUUGCUGCUGGCUAGCUGCCAGGCGCACCAGUUUGAGUGUGUCAAGAACUGUAACAUUUCUGGGUUUUUCACAUUCAACAGUUUCCCAUGUGUAUCAAGAAUGGUCCACCACCCAAAGGACAUCCAGUCAACUGGACAAUUGAGGGAAGCAUUGGAGUCAACAUGGACCAUUAUCCCUGUGGAACGAUCUGACAACUUUUAGAGUCUACAACAAACUUACCUGUUUAUCCCGCAAGAUCCAGGGUCUGGAAGCUAUGGGUCAGCAGCAGUGCAGCACCCCUGGAGUGAUUGUAGGGGGUUAAGUGCCUUGCUCAAGGGAGAAGAUACGGUCGUUCUCAAAGUGCCUUGCUCAAGGGAGGAGGUACGGUCGUUCUCAAAGUGCCUUGCUCAAGGGAGAAGGUACGGUCGUUCUCAACGUGCCUUGCUCAAGGGAGAAGGUACGGUCGUUCUCAAAGUGCCUUGCUCAAGGGAGAAGGUACGGUCGUUCUCAAAGCGGGACAGACAGACACACUGAUGGAACUUCACAUCCUCUAACUCUACAGACUUAUGCUUCCUGUAUAGGGCAGCAUAGGAGAGGACACUUACGCUUCCUAUAGAGGGCAGCACAGGAGAGGACACUUACUCUUCCUUCCUGUAUAGGGCAACACAGGAGAGGACACUUACGCUUCCUGUAUAGGGCAGCACAGGAGAGGACACUUACGCUUCCUGUAGAGGGCAGCACAGGAGAGGACACUUACUCUUCCUGUAGAGGGCAGCACAGGAGAGGACACUUACACUUCCUGUAGAGGGCAGCACAGGAGAGGACACUUACUCUUCCUGUAUAGGGCAGCACAGGAGAGGACACUUACUCUUCCUGUAGAGGGCAGCACAGGAGGACACUUACUCUUUCUGUAGAGGGCAGCACAGGAGAGGACACUUACGCUUCCUUCCUGUAUAGGGCAGCACAGGAGAGGACACUUACGCUUCCUUCCUGUAUAGGGCAGCACAGGAGAGGACACUUAUGCUUCCUUCCUGUAGAGGGCAGCACAGGAGAGGACACUUACACUUCCUUCCUGUAGAGGGCAGCACAGGAUAGGUGACCACAUAAAAAGGUUCAAAUUUACAUUUUUCAUUGUAACAAGGACAAUAAAGUUGUAAUGUAUUUGUUGGUGAAUAUAACAGUAACACUGAGUUUAGGCUACUUUGAAAGACAACUAGCAGCACUUUAGGGUCUGAAACACUGGUGCUCUGUGUGUGGCUCAACUGGUAGAGCAUGACACUUACAUUGUCAGGGUUGUGGGUUCAAUUCCCACAGGACGCCAGUAUGAAAAUGUAUGCACUCACUACUGUAAGUUGCUCUGGAUCUGCUAAAUGACUGAAAAUGUGAGGGCUGUGUGUGGAGACCAUGAUAGAAUAGCACUGACAUUGUGGGUUAGUUUUGCUUAUUAAAUCUAAUUCUUACUAAACAUGCACUGAAUAAAAACAGGUGAAGACCUUACCGUGAAAUGGUUACUUAGAAGCCCCUAACCCACAAUGCAGUUCAAGAAAUAGAGUUAAGAAAAUAUUUACUAAAUAAACUAAAAGUAAAAAAUAAAAUAAAGAGUAACACAAAAUUACAAAACAAUAACAAGGCUAUAUACAGCGGGUACUGGUACCGAGUCAAUGUGGGGGAGUACAGGUUUGUUGAGGUAAUCUGUACAUGAAGGUAGAGGUAAAGUGACAUAGAUAAUAAACAGUAGCAGCAGUGUAAAAACAAACAGUAUCAAUGUAGAUAGUCCGGGAUACAAUUUGAUUAGCUGUUCAGCAGUCUUAUGGCUUGGGGGUAGAAGCUGUUAAGGAGCCUUUUGGACCUAGACUUGGCGCUCCGGUAGCGCUUGCCGUGCGAUAGCAGAGAGAACAGUCUAUGACUUGGGUGACUGGAGUCUGACAAUUUUUUGGGCUUUCCUCUGACUAGUAAAUAGGUCCUGGAUGGCAGGAAGCUUGCCCCCAAUGAUGUACUGGGCCGUACGCACUACCCUCUGUACUAUGACAGUGAUACGUAGUUGUCUUACCUAGAUACUUUAAGAUGAAUUCACUAACUGUCUCUCUGGAAAAUUGAUAGGGAAUCGAAGAUCAACAAAAACAAACAAACAUUCAAAAAGGGGUGAAUCUUUUUAAAUUCCAAACGUUUCCAAAACCGUAUCGUAAACGAGGAUUAUCGACGUUACAAAAACCGCUAAAAACAGAGCAUCGGGAUUGUAGUUCACAUGGAGCCAGCUGUUGUCCAUACCAUCAGCUGAGAAGCCAAGACGGGGACCGGCUGUAAGGCACCGUCGGUUCUCCAGCGCUAAGCACACUGUAGAUAUAUGGAUAAGGCUCAAGUGCUGGAUCUCAGGACACGUCAACGUCUCCAAGGUAGUCCCAAC
rnacentral:lncRNA from 1 species